AGCUUUCUGAAUCCAUGCUGAGAUUUUGUCACACACCAGAACACAAGACUGAUGAGACUUCCAAGAUAAGUGACACG
rnacentral:pre_miRNA from 1 species